AAGCGGCGGACUGGUGAGUAACGCGUGGGUGACCUACCUUGAGGAUGGGGAUAGCUGUUAGAAAUAGCAGGUAAUACCGAAUACGUUCACAAUAUUAUGAUUAUGUGAAGAAAGGAGCUACGGCUCCGCCUUGAGAUGGGCCCGCGUCCCAUUAGCUAGUUGGUGAGGUAAAGGCCCACCAAGGCGAAGAUGGGUAGCCGGCCUGAGAGGGUGAACGGCCACACUGGGACUGAGAUACGGCCCAGACUCCUACGGGAGGCAGCAGCUAAGAAUAUUCCACAAUGGACGAAAGUCUGAUGGAGCGACGCCGCGUGGAUGACGAAGGCCGAAAGGUUGUAAAAUCCUUUUGCGGAUGAAGAAUAAGCGGUGGAGGGAAUGCCAUCGUGAUGACGUUAGUCCGCGAAUAAGCCCCGGCUAAUUACGUGCCAGCAGCCGCGGUAACACGUAAGGGGCAAGCGUUGUUCGGAAUUAUUGGGCGUAAAGGGCGCGUAGGCGGCCUAGUAAGUCUGAUGUGAAAACCCCGGGCUCAACCCGGGAACUGCAUUGGAAACUGCGAGGCUUGAGUCACGGAGGGGGAAUCGGAAUUCCUGGUGUAGGGGUGAAAUCUGUAGAUAUCAGGAAGAACACCGGUGGCGAAGGCGGAUUUCCAGCCGAUGACUGACGCUGAGGCGCGAAAGUGCGGGGAGCAAACAGGAUUAGAUACCCUGGUAGUCCGCACUAUAAACGAUGCACACUAGGUGUCGGGGCGAGCGUCUCGGUGCCGGAGCGAACGCGAUAAGUGUGCCGCCUGGGGGAGUAUGCCCGCAAGGGUGAAACUCAA
rnacentral:rRNA from 1 species